AUAUCCCCCUCCCCUCUCUUUCCCACUUACGUGCACAAAUUGGGAAAAGUUUUCAACCAGCAAUAAACGCACCUCGGCUGAGCCUCAUUGGUCACGUUAUCGCCUCUGCGCAAAGCU